rnacentral:ncRNA from 1 species
GUAACGGUCACCGCAAGGUUUCUGGUGGUGACAUCAGACAGACUUCCGCGACUUGCCCAGCGAGCCGCGACCGGCACCGCCGGAAUUUAACCCGCCGGAAUUGAUACCGGC